CAUUCACCCGUCACUCUCCGAUAUCAAGUGUGUUGAUUAUUCAAUUAAAUUGGAAUACACUUGGUUUCGCCCUACUAGUCAGCAACAGUGACUUCGAAGUGUAAAACACUUUCGAUUCGAUCGUUUUGGAUUUGACAAUAAAAUGUUUUGCUGGCAACGUCAUCAAAGUUAAAUCCAUACAAUCGAAAGUGCUUUACACUUCAUUAAAUCAUGUUCUGCUUUGAAAAAAAUUAACUUGCAAAAUGGGGCAUCAGGAAAAGAACUUGAAGGGCAAUCCAAGUUCUCAGUAACAAAUAAGAAUCAAAAUGUUUCCAGAAGAUACUACGACCUAACAUUAGCCACAAUGAUAGAGCAGAUGAACAUGGCUGGAGUGUAUAAGUACGCUACAAAUAUUCUUCGAAAUCUGAGGAAUAAUCGGUCCAAGAUCAUAUCGGAAAUGUGUAUAUUAUUAUAUGCCAAAAAAAAUUAAAUAAUAAACAUUGAAAAC